UGAAUACGAGACGCUAAGGCGUCGAAGUAGUGUAUGUCAUACUUCCAAGAAAAGCUUGCACUGUCAUAGAUAAAAAACGCCUGUACCAUAACCGACACAGGUGGGUAGGUAGAGUAUACUAAGGGGCGCGAGAUAACUCUCUCUAAGGAACUCGGCAAAAUAACUCCGUAACUUCGGGAGAUGGAGUGCCUUAUUCGUAAGGUUGCAAUAACAAGAUCCAAGCAACUGUUUAUCAAAAACACAGGUCUCCGCUAAGUCGUAAGACGAUGUAUGGGGGCUGACGCCUGCCCAGUGCCAGAAGGUUAAAGAAGUUGGUUAGCAAUUGCGAAGCUGAAAACUGAAGCCCUGGUGAACGGCGGCCGUAACUAUAACGGUCCUAAGGUAGCGAAAUUCCUUGUCGGGUAAGUUCCGACCCGCACGAAAGGCGUAAUGAUUUGGAUACUGUCUCGGAGAGGGGCUCGGUGAAAUAGACUUGUCUGUGAAGAUGCGGACUACCUGCACCAGGACAGAAAGACCCUAUGAAGCUUUACUGUAACUUGAAAUUGAAAUUGGACUUUAUUCGCGCAGUAUAGGUGGGAGGCGUUGAUUAUAAUCUUGUGGGAUUAUUGGAGCCAUCAGUGAGAUACCACUCUUGUAAUGUUAGAUUUCUAACUUUGAAUCAUUAUCUGGUCAAAGAACAGUUUCAGGCGGGCAGUUUGACUGGGGCGGUCGCCUCCUAAACGGUAACGGAGGCGUACAAAGGUUUCCUCUGAACGGUUAGAAAUCGUAUCUAGAGUGUAAAGGCAUAAGGAAGCUUGACUGUGAGACCUACAAGUCGAGCAGGGACGAAAGUCGGUCUUAGUGAUCUGACGGUACUGAGUGGAAAGGCCGUCACUCAACGGAUAAAAGUUACUCUAGGAUAACAGGCUGAUCUCCCCCAAGAGUUCACAUCGACGGGGAGGUUUGGCACCUCGAUGUUGGCUCAUCGCAUCCUGGGGCGGUAGUACGUCCCAAGGGUUGGGCUGUUCGCCCAUGAAAGCGGUACGCGAGCUGGGUUCAGAACGUCGUGAGACAGUUCGGUCCAUAUCCGGUGUAGGCGUUAGAAUAUUGAGAGGAGCCUUCUUUAGUACGAGAGGACCGAGAAGGACAUACCUCUGGUGUACCAGUUAUCGUGCCAACGGUAAACGCUGGGUAGCUAUGUAUGGAGGGGAUAACCGCUGAAAGCAUCUAAGUGGGAAGCCCACCUCAAGAUAAGUAUUCC
rnacentral:rRNA from 1 species